UGAGGAAUAUUGGUCAAUGGGCGAGAGCCUGAACCAGCCAAGUAGCGUGCAGGAUGACGACCCUAUGGGUUGUAAACUGCUUUUAUGUGGGGAUAAAGUGCGUGACGUGUCAUGCAUUGCAGGUACCACAUGAAUAAGGACCGGCUAAUUCCGUGCCAGCAGCCGCGGUAAUACGGAAGGUCCGGGCGUUAUCCGGAUUUAUUGGGUUUAAAGGGAGCGUAGGCUGUCUAUUAAGCGUGUUGUGAAAUAUACCGGCUCAACCGGUGGCUUGCAGCGCGAACUGGUCGACUUGAGUAUGCAGGAAGUAGGCGGAAUUCAUGGUGUAGCGGUGAAAUGCUUAGAUAUCAUGACGAACUCCGAUUGCGCAGGCAGCUUACUGUAGCAUAACUGACGCUGAUGCUCGAAAGUGCGGGUAUCAAACAGG
rnacentral:rRNA from 1 species